ACACUAGCCUGCCAAUUGUCGAGAGGCACGGAGCCGCCAGCAACGAGCCCAGCAAGCCCCCGAUGCAAAAAAUGGAGACGGUGAAGGACCAGAUGAGUGACACCUGCCAGUCUCGGAGCUCGCCGUCGUCGCUAAGACCCAAACGUGUUUUUGGACUUACAGCGGAAGGGGACGUCAUGGAAGAUAUUCCGAAUCCGUACUGAAACGUCCCGCCGAUCCCCGAUAUGAAAAUGACGACGAUCACGAGAGGACAGUCCCACUGGAAAGAAAAAACGGAGGGAUGAAGUGCUUCCAGGUAGUCGCCUUUAUAAAAGACGACCCCGAUCGCUUCCGUUCAAGUCUGCAGAUGCCCCAAACCGGAAAAGUAUGAGCGCGAUAAGUACACAAAGGAGCACCUUUUUUACUUUUUUAAUUUUUUUUUAUUAAGCGGCUGCAGGUGUUAACCAUAAUGACAUUGUGACGCACUUCACUAAGUCGCAAGCGACACUUUCACACUCUCUCGGCCAAACGUUAAACGUCUCAUUAAAAACACA